UCAAAAACAUAACCUUUAGCCAAACAAGUAUUAAAGGCAAUGCCUGCCCAGUGAGUACAUCUUUAACGGCCGCGGUACCCUAACCGUGCAAAGGUAGCGUAAUCAUUUGUCUAUUAAUUGUAGACUAGUAUGAAAGGCCACAUGAGAGCCAAACUGUCUCUUAUAAUAAAUCAAUUAAACUGAUCUCCUAGUACAAAAGCUAGAAUAACUAUAUAAGACCAGAAGACCCUGUGAAGCUUAAACUAAACUAUUAAACCAACUAAUAACUACUUUCGGUUGGGGCGACCUUGGAACAAAACCAAACUUCCAAACAAAAUGAGCUAUACCUCAUAACCCUAGGCCAACAAGCCAACCAACGACCCAGUAUAACUGAUCAUUGAACCAAGUUACUCCAGGGAUAACAGCGCUAUCUUCUUCAAGAGCCCAUAUCAAAAAGAAGGUUUACGACCUCGAUGUUGGAUCAGGACACCCAAAUGGUGCAGCCGCUAUUAAUGGUUCGUUUGUUCAACGAUUAACAGUCCUACGUGAUCUGAG
rnacentral:rRNA from 1 species